rnacentral:rRNA from 1 species
UACGGGGGGGGCAAGCGUUGUUCGGAAUUACUGGGCGUAAAGGGCGCGUAGGCGGCCUGCUAAGUCGGAUGUGAAAUCCCUCGGCUCAACCGAGGAACUGCAUCCGAUACUGGCGGGCUUGAAUCCGGGAGAGGGAUGCGGAAUUCCAGGUGUAGCGGUGAAAUGCGUAGAUAUCUGGAGGAACACCGGUGGCGAAGGCGGCAUCCUGGACCGGCAUUGACGCUGAGGCGCGAAAGCCAGGGGAGCAAACGGG